UGCCUAUAUAGAUCCUGUCGGGCAACCGACUAUGGCAGUAAACGGUGCGUGAAAUAGGCAUUAUGGACCCGGGGGCGGUACCCGGCGCCUCCACCAUCAGGGAUCGGCUUCAUGAAAUGGCUUUGUGGCAUGAAUUGAUCAAAAGUACGAUCCUUGCUGAUGGGGGCGAAAUAGGCUCGACAUGUGCUGAAAGACGAUACUUUCUGCCCGGAAUGGUUCCGCCGUUGAUGGGCCAUAUUCACAAAUGCCAAUGAUAAUGAGGCAUUUGCUGUUGCAGCGUAACAAAAACCUAGCGGUUUAAGUUACAGAGCAAUCAGCACGGUUUAUGGGGUGCGCCGGGUAACAGAAGCAUUCCCGCGGUUUGGAGGGCACC
rnacentral:tmRNA from 1 species